UGGUCAUGGUCAAGUGAAGGAUUCUUUUAUUCCAAAACAAGACACAUAAAUAUGUUUGCAUGAUGGUCCAGUCCACUAACCUUUAUGUAUUCAAGGUGUAGUGACUGCUACCCGACCAAAAAGUCUACAAAUACAUUAUAUCUCAAAAUUAAUUAAUCUCACAAGAAAGAGAGAUAAAGACAAGAUCGACCGCUGUUUCGAUGACAUGACAAAUUACGGGAAAAAAAAUUAAUGGCAGCAGAACCGGACGAGAACGAAGGGUCAUGCUCUUUAUAUGUCUAUAUUGCUUACCUUCUUGCUGGCAACCGAUCCUUCCAUCCAUUAGAACAGAGAAGACUGUGGGAGAGUGGCUAUGGAUUCGGCGACGGCGAAUGCGGCGGCGGCGGCGGUAGGAGAGGAGGAGAUAGCGAGGCCUCUGAUGGAAGGGAGGGAGCACACUUCGUCCUUCUCGUCGUUGGUGAUGGUGGUGGCGAGCACCGCCGUCGCGGUUUCCGGCUCCUUCGAAUUCGGCUCCGCGGUGGGAUAUUCUUCACCAGCAGAAUCUGGAAUUAUACAAGACCUUAACCUUUCUUUACCUGAGUACUCUCUUUUUGGCUCGAUACUGACAAUUGGAGCAAUGGUCGGUGCCAUAUUGAGUGGGCACAUUGCAGAUCUAAUGGGCAGAAAAUACGCAAUGGCACUAUCAGAUCUUUUCUGCAUUGUGGGAUGGCUUUCUAUAUUCUUGACAAAGGAAUUGUGGUGGCUUGAUCUUGGAAGACUUUUAAUUGGAUUUGGAAUCGGUCUCCUUUCUUAUGUGGUACCUGUGUACAUAGCAGAGAUAACACCAAAGAAUAUCAGAGGUGGAUUUGGAUCGGUCAAUCAGCUUAUGAUAUGCUGUGGAGUAUCCCUUGCAUUCUUGCUAGGAGCAGCUUUGACUUGGCGUCCUCUGGCAGUGAUAGGAAUUAUUCCAUGUUUACUUCAACUACUGGGCCUUCUGUUCAUUCCAGAAUCUCCUAGAUGGCUGGCUAAGGUUGGUCAUCAUGAUAAGUUUGAAGCAGCACUGCAGAGUCUCAGGGGGAAGGAUACUGAUAUUUCUCAAGAAGCAGAGGAGAUCAAAGAGUUUACAGAGAGCCUUCAAUCCCUUCCACAGGCCAGAAUGCUGGACUUGUUUCAGAAGAAAUACCUUCACUCUGUUAUUGUUGGAGUUGGAUUGAUGGUAUUCCAGCAGUUCACUGGAGUUAAUGCAGUUUGCUUUUAUGCCAGUCAAAUAUUUGUUUCUGCAGGUUUCUCAUCGGGGAACACUGGAACUAUAGCAAUGGUCAUAGUUCAGGUUCCUAUGACUGCAUUAGGUGUUUUUCUUUUGGAUAAAUCCGGAAGAAGACCAAUUCUAAUGGUUUCUGCAGCAGGAACAUGUGUUGGUUGUUUCCUUGUUGCAAUGUCGUUCUCAUUACAGGAACAUGAAUGGCCAAAGGAGAUAAAUAUUGCGCUGGCUUUGACAGGUAUUCACGGGAUCUUUCUCUUUGGGGUUGGGUGCAAUACCAUGGGUUAUAAUGUCUGAGAUAUUUCCAAUCAAUAUGAAAGGUUCUGCAGGAAGCCUUGUGACCUUAGUUAAUUGGCUUGGUUCCUGGAUUAUCUCAUACACUUUCAACUUUCUCAUAACUUGGAGCUCAGCAGGUACCUUCUUCCUUUUUGCAAGCAUUUGUGGUCUUACUGUUCUAUUUGUGGAAAGGCUAGUACCAGAGACUAAAGGGAGAACAUUAGAAGAGAUACAGGCCUCGCUGAAUUCCUUUUCAUCGGAUAAGAUCUGACUUCAGCAUUGCCCAGGACAAGAAUAAAGCAAAAUGAAACAAUAUAUAUAUAGAAGUACUUCAACUCUCCUGUAAUACUUCGUUAUUUCUAGACAAGUUUUCCUUUCUCACUAUGCUUUUGCUUGUUAAAAGAAAUAUAGCGAGGAAUGGAAGCAUAUGCGCAAUUAGCUGAGAUAAUAAAGUUUAGUAUUAGAGUCUAACACACAUAAAGAGUUCAAAUAAAGGUUUGUACUGAUCAGUACCAUAUUAUAUCAGGCAUUAUCAUAUC